GAUCCUGGCUCAGAUUGAACGCUGGCGGAAUGCUUUACACAUGCAAGUCGAACGGUAGAGGGGCAACCCUUGAGAGUGGCGAACGGGUGAGUAAUAUAUCGGAACGUGCCCAGUCGUGGGGGAUAACGUAGCGAAAGUUACGCUAAUACCGCAUACGAUCUACGGAUGAAAGCGGGGGACUCGCAAGAGCCUCGCGCGAUUGGAGCGGCCGAUAUCAGAUUAGGUAGUUGGUGGGGUAAAGGCUCACCAAGCCAACGAUCUGUAGCUGGUCUGAGAGGACGACCAGCCACACUGGAACUGAGACACGGUCCAGACUCCUACGGGAGGCAGCAGUGGGGAAUUUUGGACAAUGGACGCAAGUCUGAUCCAGCCAUUCCGCGUGCAGGAUGAAGGCCCUCGGGUUGUAAACUGCUUUUGUACGGAACGAAAAGGUUUCUAUUAAUACUAGGAGCUCAUGACGGUACCGUAAGAAUAAGCACCGGCUAACUACGUG
rnacentral:rRNA from 1 species